UUAUAAUACAGUUAUACAUGGUUAAUAAAUCGCAUAAAUAUUAUUAUUUUUGGUGCCUACCUUUGCGUAUAAUCGGCAUUUCAUAUACUUAUUAGUGUGUAAAAUACUUGAACAAGGUAUAAUGUUGUAGUACGUUCGAUACUGUACGCUUACAUUAAACUCCGAUUUCCUGCGCGUUCUUUUUACGGUAAUAAUUAUUAGACAUCCACUUUGAAAACGCAUAAAAUAAUAAUAAUAAUACGUCUAUCGGUGGCGCGGUUAUGUAGUAUUUGUUCGAAGUAUAUAAAGAGAAAAAACGUGGCAUGGUGAGUAAAACUAUACAGUAUAAUUUAUACAAUACGAGUUAAACACGGAAACAGUUGCGAGGUCUUUUGUUAAUUUGAAAAAAAAUAAUUGUUUUUUUUUUGUCGACAUUUUGAGUCCGAUAAGAAAGGACGACCGGCCAAGUUUUAAUAACAAUAAUAAUAAUUUCAUAUUCGAUUCCACUAACCGUACAAAUAGGUAAAAUGUGAUUAAUCACGUUUAAUCAAUACGGGUUUUUAUUUUUACAUAGUAAUAUUUUUCAGUAGAAUGUUUAUCGUCAAAAUUUCAAACAACUAUUGAAGGUUUAAAAUUGUGUGGGUUUCAUUAUUUUGUAUUCGGUUUGUAUUCGCAUUUCACAACUUACAUAGACCAUAAGAACGAAUAUAUUAUUAUUAUUGUAAUUUUACACGAAUACCUAUAUAAUAUUAAUGGCGGUUAAAACUUCAAAAUCCUUACUAAACAAAAAAAAAUUUAAAAAAAUGUCCAAAAAGUGUUACUAUUUUUAGAUUCUGAGCGCGGCAAGGAAUGCAAUAUUUUUACUAUGUUGUGUUUUUUUUCUGUCUGUAAAUAACUAUUCGGUCAGAAAUCUUGCUCAGAUCUUCAAAUGUAGCAAUAUUUUUUUUAAUUUUCCAUGUAGUAUUCCUAAUAUCUGGAAAAACCAGGAAACCCGAAGAAAUGUACAGCUAUAACGGUUUCGAUAUUUUCGAUUAGAUCUGGAGCGAAGGGAAUUUUAUUAAUAAUUAGGGAAAACCGGAAAAAAAAUACGGAAAAUUAAAAUUGACAAAAUUACAGAGUUACGAUAUUUCAUUAUAUUAAAUUUGUACGGUUUGUUUUCUAUCAUAAAUAUUGCUCCAAUAAAAAAACAUCAAGAUAUAUUUUUUAUUGAAUAUGCAAUCCAGUUGGUGAACAAGAGAGUCGUUUUUUUGAUUUUCUUUGUAGUUUUUUUAAGCUUAAUAUAUUCAUAAAGACUUGACAUUUUCACAGAAAACUUAUAUUAGCUUUUUUUAAAUGUGGUUAAAUUUUUAAUACAUUUGGUACAUUUUUGAGCUAAUUAUAGACAUUUUAAUUUUGCGAGUUGUAUACGUAAUUUUUAUUGAAAUUAUGUGAUUAUGUAUUAUAUGAUGACGAUAGUAUUAUGGUAAUAUUAUUAUAGUAUAGCGUACGUGUGUUUUAUUUUAGGGUUCAGAUAAAAAAAUCAAACACUCACAAUCGGAAGACGAAAACAUGAAAUCUAUCAAAAAGGUAUAAUUCUAUGACUAAGAGUUUAAUUUCAUAUAUCAUAUUAUGAUUCAUUAAAGGUUAUACGAAUAAUUUUUUAAAACAUAUAAAUUUAAUAUAUAAACGAUAUAAAAACGUAAUGUUCGAAAUUAUUAUGAAGUCAAUAAAUUUUAAUUAUUUAUAUUGUAUUUGUGACGUGUGUGAAUAUUAUACGAUCAUCGAUCAUUCUGCAUACCGUGAAUAAAAACAUAGAGGUAUUUUUUUACGUACAUAAUAUUCCAAUUGUUUUUGUUUACCUUGAUUUAAUUAAUUUGUUUAAUUCACUGUAGGUACUUAUUGAUUAUUAAUUAUUAAUAUAUCAUUCUACAAUUCCGUCAUUUUUGCGCAGACAAUAAUAUUAUGUUAUUUUUAUUUCUCCAGGAAAAACUAUUGAAAAGGGGUCAAAGUGUGAAAAUGAACGAUCAAAUAUUAAAAUACAUAACGACCAAGGAUCACGAAAAUCUGAGCUGUGAUGACGGUAUCGCCGGGAAAAUUCCGAUAUUGCUAUUAUUCCCAU
rnacentral:lncRNA from 1 species